rnacentral:rRNA from 1 species
GGGAUUGCCUCAGUAACGGCGAGUGAAGCGGCAACAGCUCAAAUUUGAAAUCUGGCUCCUUCGGGGUCCGAAUUGUAAUUUGUAGAGAGUGCUUCGGGCGAGACCUCGGUCUAAGUCCAUUGGAACAUGGUGUCAUAGAGGGUGAGAAUCCCGUAUGCGACCGUGGCUCGAGCCCGUGUGAAGCCUCUUCGACGAGUCGAGUUGUUUGGGAAUGCAGCUCAAAAUGGGUGGUAAAUUUCAUCUAAAGCUAAAUACUGGCUGGAGACCGAUAGCGCACAAGUAGAGUGAUCGAAAGAUGAAAAGCACUUUGGAAAGAGAGUCAAACAGUACGUGAAAUUGUUGAAAGGGAAGCGCUUGCAACCAGACCUGCCCGUAGGCGAUCAGCCGCUGUUCUCAGCGGUGUACUCGCUCUGCGAUCAGGCCAGCAUCGGUUUCGGCGGUCGGAUAAAGGCCUUGGGAAUGUAGCUUCCCUUCGGGGGAGUCUUAUAGCCCUCGGUGCAAUGCGGCCAGCCGGGACCGAGGACCGCGCUUCGGCUAGGAUGCUGGCGUAAUGGUUGUAAGCGACCCGUCUUGAAACACGGACCAAGGAGUCUAACAUCUAUGCGAGUGUUUGGGUGUCAAACCCAUACGCGGAAUGAAAGUGAACGGAGGUGAGAACCCUUAAGGGCGCAUCAUCGACCGAUCCAGAUGUCUUCGGAUGGAUUUGAGUAUGAGCAUAGCUGUUGGGACCCGAAAGAUGGUGAACUAUGCCUGAAUAGGGUGAAGCCAGAGGAAACUCUGGUGGAGGCUCGCAGCGGUUCUGACGUGCAAAUCGAUCGUCAAAUUUGGGUAUAGGGGCGAAAGACUAAUCG